GACGAACGCUGGCGGCGUGCUUAACACAUGCAAGUCGAACGGAGCGAAUGAAAGCUUGCUUUUAUGAGCUUAGUGGCAAACGGGUGAGUAACACGUAGACAACCUGCCGACAGGAUGGGGACAACAUUCCGAAAGGAAUGCUAAUACCGAAUGAAGCGGAGGAGAGGCAUCUCUCCUCCGUGAAAGAUGGCCUCUGAACAUGCUAUCACCUGUCGAUGGGUCUGCGUCUGAUUAGCUAGUUGGUGAGGUAACGGCUCACCAAGGCGACGAUCAGUAGCCGGUCUGAGAGGAUGAACGGCCACAUUGGGACUGAGACACGGCCCAGACUCCUACGGGAGGCAGCAGUGGGGAAUCUUCCGCAAUGGGCGCAAGCCUGACGGAGCAACGCCGCGUGAGUGAAGAAGGUCUUCGGAUCGUAAAGCUCUGUUGAUGGGGACGAACGUGCGAAGGGUGAAUAAUCCUUUGCAAAGACGUACCUAUCGAGGAGCCACG
rnacentral:rRNA from 1 species